GAUUGAAGAAGUUAACUAUUACAAAGCGUAAUCGGUAAUCUUUCGAUACAUUUUGUAAUAGUUAGCUUUUUUUGUUUCAACACGAGGAAAGCCUAUUAUUUAAUAAUUUAUUUGGAGGUCAUCACUCAUGACACAAGGUACAGUAAAAUGGUUUAACGCAGAAAAAGGUUUCGGUUUCAUCGAAGUUGAAGGCGGAGCAGACGUAUUCGCACACUUCUCAGCAAUUCAAGGCGACGGUUUCAAAACUUUAGAAGAAGGCCAAAAAGUUGAGUUCGAAAUCGAACAAGGCGCUCGUGGUCCUCAAGCUUCUAACAUCGUAAAACUUUAAUUUUACAUUCCAAACACGUUAAGGGUAAAUACCCUUAACGUGUUU
rnacentral:sRNA from 1 species